rnacentral:rRNA from 1 species
UACAGAGGUCCCAAGCGUUGUUCGGAUUCACUGGGCGUAAAGGGUGCGUAGGUGGCGGGGUAAGUCUGAUGUGAAAUCUCCGAGCUUAACUCGGAAACUGCAUCGGAUACUGCCUUGCUCGAGGGUUGGAGGGGGGACUGGAAUUUACGGUGUAGCGGUGAAAUGCGUAGAUAUCGUAAGGAAGACCAGUGGCGAAGGCGGGUCUCUGGACAGUUCCUGACGCUGAGGCACGAAGGUCAGGGGAGCAAACGGG